CAAGGCAAAAGCAGCCCCUCCUCCGUACAACAUUUGUAGUUAUGCCUUGUCUGGGCGUUCCCCAGGGCCUCUGGGCUAGGGGCUGACUGUUCCCCAGCAUAACAUGUGCCUUGGAUGCUGAGGCUGGGAGUUCACAGUGUCACCCUGGGAACAGACUCCACGUUUCACUUCAGGGAGCCCAUCGACAGAGGUGGAUCAAGUCUGGGCAGGGAACACUGCCUUUUGUGUGUUUUCUAGGCCUGGACCCUCUAACUCAGGGCACAUGGAGGCCCUACCCACAAGCAUAAAGGCUGAGGCGCAGGCCCCGCCCUCUGCUCUCCUGCAGGCUGAGGGAAACUAGAGGGGCUGCAUUUAUUAAAGUCUGCAAAGCUGCGCCCUGGAUUUACUCUUUGCCCAGUUCCUGGCACUCUCAGCAAGGAUCCAGGCUGGCGGCCCUCUAGGAGGCCCUAAGUAGGACCACAGUUAGCCCCCUUAGUGGGGUCCAGAGCCAUCCUGGGAAGAAAGGAUAGGAAGCCAUUCCCAUUUGCAGCAUUCUGUCUGAGCAGGUGGACAAAGAUUGUGCCUGAGGCACGGGCCACCCUCAGGUGCCAUAGCAGCUCAGGGGAUGACAUAAGGCCAAGAGGGAAGAAACCUAGUCAUUUUGGCUAUCCUGAAACCCAUCAGAAGGAAUAAAGCAGGCCGGAAGCCCCA
rnacentral:lncRNA from 1 species